UCAGACGAUGCGUCAUGCAUAUCAAUAAGCGGAGGAAAAGAAACUAACAAGGAUUCCCCUAGUAACGGCGAGUGAAGCGGGAAGAGCUCAAAUUUGAAAUCUUAAAGGGUUUCCCUUUACGAAUUGUAGUUUAAAGAAGUGUUUUCUGUUGAAGUUUUGGUAAAAGUUCUUUGGAAUAGGACAUCAUAGAGGGUGAGAAUCCCGUAUUUGACCUUUACUUUCUAACUUUGUGAUACACUUUCAAAGAGUCGGAUUGUUUGGGAAUGCAGUCCAAAAUGGGUGGUAAAUUUCAUCUAAAGCUAAAUAUUGGCGAGAGACCGAUAGCGAACAAGUACCGUGAGGGAAAGAUGAAAAGAACUUUGAAAAGAGAGUUAAACAGUACGUGAAAUUGUCAAAAGGGAAGCGUUUGACACCAGUGUUGUUUUUCUGAAAAUCAAUUAAAGAACUGUUUAUGCUAAGUUGUUUAGACUUUAUCAGCUAUCUGUUUAGUUUUGAGCUUUUCUCUAAUGCACCUUUUCAGUUAACAAGUCAACAUCAAUUUCUUUUGCUGUAAAAAAGCUUGAGGAAGGUGGCUUGAGAUUCGUCUUAAGUGUUUAUAGCCUCUUGCCUAUGCAGUCGGAGAGAUUGAGGUCUGCAGCGUAGAUCCUUCGGGGCUAAAUGCAUUUGUGCUAAGUUAUAGCAUUUUAUAGACAACUUGUUGACUAUGAUUUGUCUUGUAGCUUACUCGCUUAUGUUAUUUUACCUACGCUUAGGAUGUUGAAGUCAUCGUAUCGCGC
rnacentral:rRNA from 1 species